rnacentral:rRNA from 1 species
ACAUCCAGAGAACUUAGCAGAGAUGCUUUGGUGCCUUCGGGAACUCUGAAGACGAGGUGCUGCAUGGCUGUCGUCAGCUCGUGUUGUGAAAUGUUGGGUUAAGUCCCGNAACGAGCGCAACCCUUAUCCUUUGUUGCCAGCGGUUCGGCCGGGAACUCAAAGGAGACUGCCGGUGAUAAACCGGAGGAAGGUGGGGAUGACGUCAAGUCAUCAUGGCCCUUACGGCCAGGGCUACACACGUGCUACAAUGGCGCAUACAAAGAGAAGCGACCUCGCGAGAGCAAGCGGACCUCAUAAAGUGCGUCGUAGUCCGGAUUGGAGUCUGCAACUCGACUCCAUGAAGUCGGAAUCGCUAGUAAUCGUAGAUCAGAAUGCUACGGUGAAUACGUUCCCGGGCCUUGUACACACCGCCCGUCACACCAUGGGAGUGGGUUGCAAAAGAAGUAGGUAGCUUAACCUUCGGGAGGGCGCUUACCACUUUGUGAUUCAUGACUGGGGUGAAGUCGUAACAAGGUAGGCGUAGCGAG